rnacentral:rRNA from 1 species
GUGGAGUUGCUUAGACAACCAGGAUGUUGGCUUAGAAGCAGCCAUCAUUUAAAGAGUGCGUAAUAGCUCACUGGUCGAGUGACUCUGCGCCGAAAAUAUACCGGGGCUAAACGUAUCACCGAAGCUGCGGAUUGUACCGUGGGUACAAUGGUAGGAGAGCGUUCUAAGGGCUGUGAAGUCAGAUCGAAAGAACUGGUGGAGCGCUUAGAAGUGAGAAUGCCGGUAUGAGUAGCGAAAGACAAGUGAGAAUCUUGUCCACCGAAAGCCUAAGGUUUCCUGAGGAAGGCUCGUCCGCUCAGGGUUAGUCGGGACCUAAGCCGAGGCCGAAAGGCGUAGGCGAUGGAAAACAGGUUGACAUUCCUGUACCACCUU